UCCAGUAUGGUAAUGACCCAGCACCUCCAC
rnacentral:piRNA from 1 species